UCUUGACAUCCCGAUGCUAUUUCUAGAGAUAGAAAGUUACUUCGGUACAUCGGUGACAGGUGGUGCAUGGUUGUCGUCAGCUCGUGUCGUGAGAUGUUGGGUUAAGUCCCGCAACGAGCGCAACCCCUAUUGUUAGUUGCCAUCAUUCAGUUGGGCACUCUAGCGAGACUGCCGGUAAUAAACCGGAGGAAGGUGGGGAUGACGUCAAAUCAUCAUGCCCCUUAUGACCUGGGCUACACACGUGCUACAAUGGUUGGUACAACGAGUUGCGAGUCGGUGACGGCGAGCUAAUCUCUUAAAGCCAAUCUCAGUUCGGAUUGUAGGCUGCAACUCGCCUACAUGAAGUCGGAAUCGCUAGUAAUCGCGGAUCAGCACGCCGCGGUGAAUACGUUCCCGGGCCUU
rnacentral:rRNA from 1 species